UACAGAGGUCUCAAGCGUUGUUCGGAUUCAUUGGGCGUAAAGGGUGCGUAGGCGGCGCGGUAAGUCGGGUGUGAAAUCUCGGAGCUUAACUCCGAAACUGCAUUCGAUACUGCCGUGCUUGAGGACUGGAGAGGAGACUGGAAUUUACGGUGUAGCGGUGAAAUGCGUAGAUAUCGUGUGGAACGCCAGUGGUGAAAACAGCUCGCUGGGGGUGCGCUGACACUGAGACACGAAAGCCAGGGGAGCAAACGGG
rnacentral:rRNA from 1 species